rnacentral:rRNA from 1 species
CCUACGGGUGACAGCAGUAGGGAAUAUUGCUCAAUGGGGGAAACCCUGAAGCAGCAACGCCGCGUGGAGGAUGAAGGUCUUCGGAUCGUAAACCUCUGUCAGCAGGGAAGAACGGUCACUGUGCUAAUCAGCAGUGAAUUGACGGUACCUGCAAAGGAAGCACCGGCUAACUCCGUGCCAGCAGCCGCGGUAAUACGGAGGGUGCGAGCGUUAAUCGGAAUUACUGGGCGUAAAGCGCUCGUAGGCGGUAUGUCAAGUCAAGGGUGAAAUCCCCGCGCUCAACGUGGGAACUGCCUUUGAAACUGGCAAACUGGAGUGUGUGAGAGGAUAGUGGAAUUCCAGGUGUAGGAGUGAAAUCCGUAGAUAUCUGGAGGAACAUCAGUGGCGAAGGCGACUAUCUGGCACAUAACUGACGCUGAGGAGCGAAAGCGUGGGUAGCAAACAGGAUUAGAUACCCGUGUAGUC